GCCCAAAGCCUUUUCAAACACUAACAUUGCCUUAAAAAUUCAUAUAUAUUUUAAACCUUCAUUAUAAACAUAUAUAUUAGGAUGCCCAAAGCCUUUUCAAACACUUAGAAUAUCCUUCAAAAUUCAUAUAUAUUGUAAACUUUCAUUAUAAACGUAUAUUAGGAUGCCCAAAGCCUUUUCAAACACCAACAUUGCCUUAAAAAUUCAUAUAUAUUGUAAACGUUCAUUAUAAACAUAUAUAUUAGGAUGCCCAAAGCCUUUUCAAACACUUAAAAUAUCCUUCAAAAUUCAUAUAUAUUGUAAACGUUCAUUAUAAACACAUGUAUUAGGAUCCACAAAGCCUUUUCAAACACCAACAUUGCCUUAAAAAUUCAUAUAUAUUGUAAACGUUCAUUAUAAACGUAUAUUAGGAUGCCCAAAGCCUUUUAAAACACACUAAAUGGCUCUAAACUUUCUCAAUACAGUAAGAUUUCAUAAUAAACGUAUAUAUUAAGAUCCCAAAGCCUUUUAAAACACACUAAAUGGCUUUAAACUUUCUCAAUACAGUAAAAUUUCAUAAUUGACAUAUUAAGAUGCCCAAAGCCUUUUAAAACUCACUAAAUGGCUCUAAACUUUCUCAACACAGUAAGAUUUCAUAUUAAACGUAUAUAUUAAGAUCCCAAAGCCUUUUAAAACACACUAAAUGGCUUUAAACUUUCUCAAUACAGUAAGAUUUCAUGAUUAACAUAUAUACUAGGAUGCCCAAAGCCUUUUAAAACUCACUAAAUGGCUCUAAACUCUCUCAAUACAAUAAGAUUUCAUAAUUAACAUAUAUUAAGAUGCCCAAAGCCUUUUAAAACACACUAAAUGGCCCAAAGCCUUUUAAAACACUAAAUGACAAUUGGCCUUUCAAAACACAUACACAAUAGCAACAACAACCGUGAAUUAAGUCUAUGGUAAAAAGCAACAACAUUAAACAACAACAUUCGCAAUAAUAAUAAGAAAAAGAAGAAUCACAAUAGUUACUCCGUUAAAAAUACUGAAAAUCAACAACAUUACCAAAACAAAACAAAGCCGCGUGAGAGAGAGGAGGAGGAAAACAUGAUUAGGGAUGAGAAGAUGGCGGAAGAAAAAAUGAUGAUUGAUUGAUUGAAAGGAGGAGGAGGAAGAGGAUGAGACACAAGAAAGAAAUGGAGGAAGAACAAUAAGAGGAGGAAGUAGAGGAAAGGGAGGAAGGUGAGGAAGAGGAGGAGGAGGAGGAGGGGGAAGAAGAAUCACAAGAAGGAGAGGAAGAAGAAGAACAGGAGGAGGAUGAAGAAGAAGAACGAGAUCUACAAGGAAGAGAAGAAAGAAGAGGAGGAGGAAGGAGAAGAAGAAGGAAGAGGAGGAAGAAGAACAAGGAGAGAGUGAACACGAGGAAGAAGAAGAAGAAGAAGAAGACAACAA